GUUGGAAGCAUGUUCACAACCGGAAGCCAGUGAACAAUUGCACUGAGGUUCACCCCAGUCAUAUCCAGGUGCUCAACCGAAGUUAACUGGGAUAACCAGGUGAUAUCAGUGGAAUAUGUGUCUGAGUAGGAGUCAAGAUUUAGGUACCGUAAGUUGGAGAGAUUACCCAGCUGCGGUGGUAUCCUUCCAAUGAACUGUGAGCUUGAUAGGUCGAGAUAUCUCAGCUGAUGGAGAGAACCCAUGAACUCCGGUAUUUGCAUCUCAUCAAACCCGUUGUAGCUGAGGUCGAGAUACCGUAGGUGUUGUAAACGAAGCAACGAGGAGCUUAUGUUACCUGCUAGCACCUCCCUUUUCUCCCCAUAACUUCUUAUGUUGCCUCCUAGCACCUCCACAAAAUCAGGGCCUCGGAGAUCGAGCUUGACAACAUGGCCGGUUCUGUUGCUGCAGUAGACGCCCUUCCACCGGCAGCAGUCGUCACCCUUCCAAGACGAAAGGAGGUUGGCAGGGUCUGAUAGGCCUGCCCUGAAGGCAAGAAGGGCAGACCUCUCACCGGCAACACAGCUGGCGACCGCAUCGUUUGGAUGCAGGGCAGAUAAUGUGUCCUCCGUGGUGCUCUUGGCUUGAGUGAACAAGAGCAAGGCUAUGGCUAUUUGGAUGCAGGAGAAGUGAAGUGUGUCCAUUGGAGAUUUUGCCAUGUGAACAUGUGGUCUUCUUUUCUCCCGAUUCAGGUAUAUAUGUUCUUCUUGAGAGUUGAGAUAGGAGACCAAUGAGGAAUUUCAUGGAAGGCGCUGAGCGCAGUUUUUCCACAACUAGUCGGCUUGAGGGUCCACAUAUAUAGUACUAUCAUAGACUUUGGGUCUUUGGAAUUUAAUUGGAAAUCGCUGGAUGGUACUGGAGCAUCAAUUGACAACGGUGUGAAGCCAAGUGCAGAUUUUCCACAACUACUUGGCUUAAAUUUAAUGGAAGUCGCUAGAUGGUACUGGAGCCAAGUGCAGUUUUUCCACGACUACUUGGCUUGAGGGUCCAGGUAUUACUGUCAUGGACUAUGAAUUAUUGGGAAUGAAAAUUAGAAUAUAUAUGUAAUCCGAAAUGUAAAUAUUCUAAGAAUACUUACAGGACAAGUGGUGAGUUCCGUUGGUAAGAGAGAUCCCACCAUCACCCAUCUAGGGCCAAAAUCAAGAUUGAUCUGAAAGAAACAAAUCCAAAUAUUCGAGACGGAGAAUACUUACAGGACAAGAAGGAAGGCUACAGCUGGGGCAGGGGAAUGUGGAAGGGGGCGACCUUGCGAUCUGGAGGCUGGCGGUGCCGGCGACGACGACGACGGAGACGCCGUCGAGCGGAUCCGCCGGAAGAACUCUCCGUGACACGCCUCCUUCCUGCUUCCCAGCGGCUGCCCCGCCGCCUCGGCUACUCUGCCGGCGCAGGUCGGCGGGCAUGUCGGAGUGAGCAGAUCUACCCGUGCUGUCUCUUUUUGUUUUACAUAGAAAAUGCAUUAAUAUCGAUUACAACUGGCCUUUCUAUUCCAAACACAUCAAAGAUAUACUCCCUCCCUCCGUUCCUAAAUAUAAUUAAUCUUUUAAAAUUUUUGCUAAGAGACCACAUACAAAUCAAAAUGAAUGAAUCUAUAUUUUAAAAUAUGUAUAUAUACAUUCGCAUUUAGUUUUUUAAUAAAAUCUUUAAAAAAACUUAUAUUUAGAAAGGGGGAGUACACAGCUGAAAAAACAGAAGAAAUAAGACUGUCCCAGUCAUCAAUUACUAGCAUCAGCAACACUCUAACGACCCCAAAAACAAUAUCCAAAUUACGAAAAAGUUCUUCAAAACUAUGCCUUGAAUAAGGAAUAUAAUGCAUAAGCAUUGUCGUUGUUUGGUCGAAGAUCUUAGAUUUUCGUCUCAGAAAAGUUUGAAAUCAUUGAAAAACAAUGUCUUCAACAUUCAUCAAGGUUAUUGUCAAGUACAACCAAUAAAGUCAACCUUAGGCUUUUACCCUCAGAAUUGAUACUUGGUACUUGAGAAACACCAAAAAAAGCAGUCCUCGAGUGUUGUCACCCCUGCUUGCCGAGGAAGAUGAUGCAAGUAACCAAACACCUCGCACAUAGUUUUCUCCGCAUUCAAUACAUCCUUUCACCAAAGCUUCAUGACCUCCAUCUAUGCCUUAGAAAUCUUGACUUGGACAUGUCUCAUGACACAAACAAAGCUUCGCGUAGCACCCUCUUGAUGCCGUGCUGGUUGAUAAUAUGAGUGCCCAUGAUUGAAACCUUUCCAAUCUAGAUAUCCAGGGGCAACAUACAAUAAUCCAAUAGAUCUCCGACAUGAAGAUCAAAACUCGUGAGCGGUCAGAUACAAGAAUGCCGACAUCCGAUAGAAAGACGACUUGGCGAAAGAAGAGUGCUAGGGCCAAACCACCACUGUCGUGCUGCUAACUCCACCAGCCGACGACCACGGCGGAGCCGGCCGCCUGUGACACCGCCGCCCUCAUCACGCCUCGCUUGAGCAGCUAGAUCGCCCCGUCUGCUGUCCGACGACUCCGACCGCCUAUCGGUACACCACCUCGACACUUGGCACACCUCGUCAUGCUGUUGUCGUCGACAAGCUCCGGCGUGUGACCACGUUGUUGCGCUUGCCGCCAGCGUUGCAUCCAGGUCCGUUUGCAUCGGCCCAUGCCAAAGGCCCUACGCGAGGAGACGAGACCACCCUGCCGUCGCUGGUGCCGACUGGGCUUGGCUUGGCCGCGCCUGGUGACGAGGGAAGGGAGGGAGGAGGAGGUGGAUCCCCUGGGGCGGCGUCUGGUUUACCUCCGGUGACACAUAUGCAAUAACAUGUGUACUUAGCCACUUAUGCAAGUGAAGGAACCUGUGCUAGAUGUGGGGCAACUCAAAUUAACUGAAGCAAUACAUGUUAAUAAAAUAAACAUGACACUUAGAUCGUCAGCUUACGUGGCUGAAAUGUACCCCAAAAUCCAAUAAACACACACACAGAAGGAUGCACAACAGCACUUGGGCAGAAAUAUAACACGGUCAUUACCAUAGGGGGGGUUACAGUUCGACAAUCCGACAAUGAUCAGGCUCAACCAAAUAAUCCAAGAGCACUGAAGCUUUGAAGUAGUAAUGAAGCGAUCAAUCUAUGUCAUCUGUAAAUGAGAUAAUGGACGUGAGUAUGAGUAUAAAAAACAUCAGAUUUUUUUUUUGAAAAGGAGGAAACGAGCCCCCGGCCUCUGCAUCAAUCGAUGCAUGCAGCCAUAUUAUUAAAAAUCCAAAGUAACAAAAUAGUUCGAGAUAGGCCUGAAGGCUGAAAAAUAAGAUGGAUCUGAAACUAAACAAACUCUUAAGAAACACGCACAUCCGGCGUAACUAAUAGCAGACUACGAUGCCUAUACACCUAGUCUAUUACUAGCACGCCAUCCAAACCGGUUGAAGAUAACACGUGCGACCAUCUCCCACCGGUUGCACCCAGUAGCCAUAACCUCCCUGUUGUCUGCAAGACUGAGUGAUGACCACGUACGGAUCCAGGACGUUGCUCGGAAUAUGACCUGCAAAAAAUUGUUGAAUUUCUUACCAUUAAAUAUUAUGUCGUUUCUGGUAUUCCAUAUAGCCCACAAAAGAGCACAUAUCCCUAUUCUAAUAAGUCUAGAUAGUUUAACGUCCACUCCAUUGAGCCACGUUGUAAACAUUGAAUUGAUGCACGUAGGUGGGAUCACGUUAAAGGCUAUAUGGAUAGUGCGCCAAAGUAGUUUUGCGAGGGGGCAGUCCAAAAACAAGUGUCUGAUAGUUUCAUGUUGAUCACAAUAACAACAAUUGGAUCUACCUCUUCAACUACGCUUAAUUAAAUUAUCUUUGGUUAAUACCACACAUUUUAUAUGUAGAUGGUUCUAUGCAGGAGUAACAAACAAAAUAGAGACCACCUCUUUCCAUGAAGACCUCAGCAGGAGCAAAAAAUGACUUCCAUUUUCUCUCCAUAGUAUUUUUCUAGGUUCUUCACAAGUAUUGUUCUUGAAGAAUCAAACAUCUUCCAGGCCAGAACAAAAUCAGAAUCAGCUUCUAUCACCGGUUUCACCCUCCUUAUCUUUACCGUCUGAGUUUUGCCCGAGGUAUCAGUAUUUACCAUGGGGUAAAAGCACAUUGAAAAAGAAUCAUAAAUUAUUAAAAAAAGCACUAACAACCGAAAAGUAUCCUUAAAAUCAAAGUCUUCAUGUGGUUUGUGCACAAGAAGGUGAUUCUCACUAAGAGUAAUCUGGCUAAACGCAAUUGAGGGAGGGGGGAUACACGAUGUAGCUUCUGUGAUAAUGAGGAAAACAUUAAACAUCUUUUUCUCCAAUGUCCACUUGCGAUAAUUCUAUGACAGACAGUUCGUAUAGCCUUUAACAUUAUGCCUUCAGAUAGCAAGACACGUUGUUUGGAACGUGCCUCAAACGCAUUUGUAUAGGAGUAUGUGCACUUCUUUAGAGUAUAUGGAACACAUAUAAAUUGUUUGCAGGUAUUACACAGAGCAUCGGCGUUGAUCCGUACAUGAUUAUUACUCACUCCUACAGAAACCAAGGAAUUGUGAUGCACCUUUUUGCGGAAACCGGAGACCCAUCACAUAUCUGUACAUGAUCAUCACUCACUUAUGGUUCUAGAUAUGUGAUGCACCUUCUUGUUCAAGAGGAUGGUACUAUAAAGCAGAGGCAGACAACUAACACGGUCAUUACCACAGGGGGGAUACAGUUUGACAAUUCGACAAUGGUCAGGCUCAACCAAAUAAUCCAAGAGAGCUGAAGCUUUGAAGUGGUAUUGAAGCGAACAAUAUGUCAUCUGUAAAUCAGAUACUCGGACAUGGGUACAAAAGCAUCCAACGACUAUAUGCAGGAAUAACAAACAAAAACAGAGACCACCCCACUCCGCCAGUCGAUGGACGAACCUAGAAUUCAUACAUGUGCAUGAUUAGUUCGAGUACAAUGCACCUAGAAUACACACGUGUGCGUGACUUGUUCCAGUACAUACACGGUAAUAUAGAUUGAUACAUUCAUGAUAACACUUUUGCUUCGGUACAACCCCCUCCCCACAAAACGUAUAAAGGAGAAUGUAUAUCCACCUCGUAUUGUACAUUAUAGGCCGCCGUACGUAUAUCCACCUCAUAUAGUAUACGUAUGACGGCCUAUACUGUAUAAUACAAGGUGGGUAUACAUUCUCCUUUAUACGUUUUGUGGGGGAGGGGGUUGUACCGGAGCACACCUCUCAUGAUAAAUCUCCAGAGUAUAUCAAAUUACAUGUCUAGAGCAAGCCAACAAGCAAUGCUGGUUCUAGUACAACACAAAAAACAGCAUACCAAUCUCAAUCGAUGGCAUGCACCUUGAAUACAUACAUAUCCUGACUAGGUCUAGUACAAUACUCGAACAUCCAUUGGUACAUUCAUGAAAAAUCUCCAAAGCGUUUAUUAAAGUACAUGAGAGCAAACAAAGAGCCAGUGCUGGUGAUCUCAUCUCAGCUUCUACCCAUUAAUUCUACCUCUAAAGGAAGCCCAGGUAACAGCCACUUGCACAUAAACAUGGUCAUACAAAUUGUCGCACAGCGAGUACCAAGCAGCUCUCCAUCUCCUCUUGAACAAGAAGGUGCAAAAGACCACCCACAGACCCAUCACAUAUCCAGACCCGGUGGCGAGGGAAAACGAAACCAUGUCGCUCAUUGCAUCCCCCUUGCGCUCUCUGGUAGUUGGAACUUGCUCGGGAUGUGAACAAUUCCAUGAGAGAGGAGAACCGCAAAGGCCCGGGUUGCCGAUAUAAAUAGAUGCAGGGUCCUCAAGUGUUUGCAGUUGAUUUCCUGUCGGUAUCUUUCCUCUCAGAUUGUUGUAGGACAGGUUCAAGCGACUCAGUGAUGUGAGAGUCGAUAAGCUUGAAGGGAUUUCACCGGACAAAUCAUUGUGCGAUAGGUCAAGUGACUCCACCUGCAUUAAGGCGCCGAUAUUCUCAGGGAUUUUUCCAUUGAAUUUGUUCCAUGAUAAGUUUAGGCUCUUCAAUGCUACAAGAGCGCUGAUUUCUUCGGGAAUCUCUCCCAUAAGACUAUUACAAGAAAAAUCAAGAUUCACCAUAUAUAUGAUUUCUCCUGUAUAUAAUCUCUCUUGACCUUUCGUCAGUACUGUUAAAUUCUCGGUAUAGUCAACUAGGUAAUUGCCAGCCGAAUAUACUCCAGCAGAGAAUGCAUCCCGAAGAUCAUCAUUGUCUCUUCUUUGUGUCAUGCCUGUACAGUUAACAAUAGAUCUCGGUACGCUCCCUGAUAAGUUAUUGUAGGCAAGGUCCAGAUAUUGAAGAUCAACAAGCUUCGUAAGCUCGACUGGAAUUUGACCAUGAAACAUAUUGGAUCUCAGUCGUAAGAAUGACAAAGAUGAUAGCUUCUCCCCAAUCCAUCCUGGUAAAGUCCCAGAGAACUGAUUAUUGCUGAGAUCAAGAAAGAUGAGCUGUGUACAUUUCUGCAGCAGCAAAGGAAAAUCACCCGAGAGGUUGUUGUCUCUUAAGCUUAGAUUAACAAUGCUCAGGUCUGUCAUGUUUGUGCUGGACUCAUUGACUAGGCAAUCGCUAAUUGAUCCCUUGAGGUUAUUUUUUGAUAUAUCUAACAAGCGCAAUGAUUGCAACUUGCACAAAGAAGAUGGAAUGGCCCCAGAUAUCAUGUUGUCAUAUAGUAAAAGUGUUGCAAGCCCUGGAGCUCCAAAGUCUAAUGGUAGUGGCCCAACUAGAUUGUUCCGACUGAGAUCCAGGUCGGUUAGAUUGAUGGGAAGUUUAGGUAUUAGACCACCAAGCAGGUUAGAACUGAAAUCCAUUUCUCUUGUUCUCAUAAAUUCCAUUGUUGAUGGAAGCACUCCUGUAAUCUGAUUAUUUCGAAUGUUCAGAGAGCCUACCGAGGAAGCUGCUAUCCAAAACCAAUCCGGUACCAUGUCAUUUAUGCUUGUGUUUGAUAUAUCAAGACUACUUGCAUGUUUUUGCCAUCUAAGCCACAUUGGGAAUUUAGGCCCUAGCUGACAGGACCGAAGUUCAAUUAUUACUAGACUGAAAGGAGGAACCCAAGUUGGGCUCACCGUGAUGGCUAUGGAGUUGUCUGAUAAUCUCAAUUCCUCCAACAUCUCUAGACGUGAUAAAUGGCCUUCAUGUAUAACCCCGUCCAGGUUAUUAGAGUCAAGCCCCAAGUCUGUCAGUUGUGUGAGCUCUCCUAUCCACACCGGGACAUGACCAGUCAGUUUGUUAUCACUGAGAUACAGCACGCUUAGGUUUUUCAAGGGCUCUAGUAGUGUAGUCGGUAGGCUUCCAGUCAGAUUGCUUUCCGGUAGAAACAAGUCUUUUAGUUUAUUUUGUGAACAGUUUGGUAAUCGAUGGAACAACUCUGCUAUACUCCCGUUGAUAUUGUUCCCCAAAGAAACCAAUCCCUCCAAAUUACAUAGGUUCUUUAAGUUGGAUGAUAUCAUGCCCACAAGGUUGUUUUUUGACAAAUCAAGCUCCACAAUCGAGGUCAUAUUACCUAUCUCGUCCGGAAACGGGCCAUAGAAACCAUUAAACGAGAUAUCUAGAUAUUUUAGGCUAGUUAAAUCCCAAAACCAGUUUGGUGUGCUACUCCUAUGGAAGUCGUUGUCUGAAAGGUUGAGUGUUUCAAGAGAUGUCAGAUUUGAGAACUGAAUAGAAUCAGGGCUACUUCUAAGUUGGCAACCGACAAGACGGAGAGCUUUCAGAGUUGGAAGCAUGUUCACAACCGGAAGCCAGUGAACAAUUGUACUGAGGUUCACCUGAGACAUAUCUAGGUGUUCAAGGGAAGUUAACCGUGACAACCAGCUGAUAUCAGUGGAAUAUGUGUCUGAGUAGGACUCAAGAUUUAGGUACCGUAAGUUGGAGAGAUUACCCAGCUGCGGUGGUAUCCUUCCAAUGAACUGUGAGCUUGAUAGGUCGAGAUAUCUCAGCUGAUGGAGAGAACCCAUGAACUCCGGUAUUUGUAUCUUGUCAAACCCGUUGUCGCUGAGAUCGAGAUAGCGUAGAUGUUGUAAACCAAGCAAGGAGGAGCUUAUGUUGCCUGCUAGCGCCUGCCUGUAAUC
rnacentral:lncRNA from 1 species